UCAUAUCUCAUUCUCUUUUGUCUCUCAUUCGCUUCUGUCAUGUCUGAAAUUCAUAGGUUUCAGAGAUCUCAAAUUCCAGAUCAAGCCAACCUAUUUAUUUUUCGCCUUAGGGUUUCGAGGUUUACAUACAAAAGUUGUUUUACGGUUCAGUCUCUCUUAUGUAGUCUCCAAAAACUCUCAAGAGCAGCAGCACAGAGAAGAAGAAAGGCCCUAAAUUUCUCAUUUCCUUGGUUUUUGAUUUGAGAGAUCGUGAAGAGGAAUGACGCUUUCCUCGUCAAGGAGUUUGGAAAUAGAAAUCAAAUGGUUCAGUUCAGAAAGAACCUAACAAUCUCUACAACGUUAACACCUUCAAACACUUUGGGUUAGCUACUGCAAAGUCUAUUUCAGUUCAAGCUGGAAAAGAUUCAGGUGUUGUUCAGGAUACUAUCAAGACUAACAAACAGAAGUACCCUUCAGCUUUGGUACCUCUUCUUGUCAUGUACUGAAAUUCAGGAAAGUCUGUCUGAAAGAGUAUUAGAGCUUCUUGCGUUGCCCGGGGAUGAUGUUCCGCGGCUGCUCCUUGAUAUUGGCUGUGGCUCUAGACUAAGCGGAGAAACAUCAUCUGAGAGUGGACACCAAUGGAUUGGUUUACACAUAUCUGAUUCAAUGCUAGUGAAACGAUGUUGCGUUGGAGUGGGAACUAGACGGUGAUCUUUUGCUAAGCGAUAUGGGUCAGGACUUGGGUAUCAUGGAUGGAGUUAUUAAUGGUGCUAUUAGCAUCUCAGCGGUGCAGUGGCUUUUCUAUGCGGACAGGUCCUCUCAUAAUCCAAGACUGAGAUUGAAGGCAUUUUUUGGAUCACUAUAUCGGUGUUUAUCCUGAAUGAUCCUCUUCGAACACCAAGUACAUAGCCUAUACCUCCUCCGAUGCUAAAUAUGUAGGAGGUGAUUCCUGUAUUGCGGCUGCUUCAACGUUCCCCGGGGUUAGCUUAACAAGAAGGAUGCCAUGGCUGCUACUGUACUUCAGGAUUAUCGGGACUGUCUACUAGGGUGGCGCAUUACGACCUGCUGAACUUAAUGAAAUUUUUUCAACUCCACCAGAAAGUCCUUGGAGUAAAACUCCACAUAAGGAAUCUGCAGAGAAGACUGCAUUAGGAGAGAUUCUUGGCACAUUGGACCCUCAUGACAUUGUUAGAUCCGGUUAAAAGUGUAGCCAAUUUGGUUUACAUCGGAUACCAAGGCAUUGCCUUUGUCCUGCAUAUAACCAGACGAAGAAGGUUAGAUCGCAAGAAGCAACAAUCAGAUAGAAAUGUUUUCCAGUACUUCAUGUUUGGACCUAAAAGGUGUUGGGAAGUCAUCAUUUAUCAACUCUUUACUCGGAAGGUAUGGUACUUGUUGAAGUUAUUGAUAAAAUAAACUUGCAGAGUGAUGUCAAACCUUGUAGAAUCGUACUGAAUAAGAUCCUUAUGUUAUGAAUAAGAUCUUUUGAUACCACACACAAAAUUUGUAUGUCCUUGGAACUUUUGUGACGUGGUUCUUAAUUUUUGUGUAUAAGGAGUUGAUCAUUGAAUGUCAUGGUGGAUUAAAUUCUAGAACAA